rnacentral:lncRNA from 10 species
CUCAGAUCUUCCUGGCUCUUCCACUAGCUGUGAGACAUGGGGCAAGGCUCCAGAUUCAGCUGGGCCUUUAUUAACCAGCCCUGGAGUUAAAUCAUCAACCCAGAGGUCUGUCCUAGCCCUGGAGCCCAAGGAGACCCCUGAUUAUGCAGCAAGCAGGGCUGAAGUUUCCAUUUAAUUUUUGCAUCACAUCUUUAGCACUAUUGGACAUCCUAGAAACCUCAUUCACAAGAUUUCAAGUUUGAAGUGAUAGUGUUUGCUACCAGAGCCCCUUUUCUGUCAAAGAAAUUAGAAGCAGGAAGGUUGAUGCAUUCCCCCACAGAGCCACUUCCACUUGCUCCAGGCCACAGAGUUCUCUCUCCCGUGACAGUUUCCUUCCUGUGCAAUAGUAUCGCCUCUGGAACUUCCUCACCUGCCACCUGGUGCUGCUACAUGUCCACUUGGGCUCACAUAUUUUCCCACCGAUAGACAAGAGAUUACCAGAAAAGGGGUGAGGAAUCCAGAGAGAAUGUCUGCAUAAGAAGGAGGGUGGAGAUUUCUUACUGAACUAAAGGCUUCAAGAAUUGGCAAAUACCUGCUCACCCUUUUGAGAUGUUUUUCCAGACUUUUGUAUUUCUGAUGACUGGAUGACUCCACCUGGACCCGAGACUCAUGACUCACCCAGUCCUGUGGCCCCACCCAGAAGUGGACUCAGAGCAAGAGGACCAUUUUCCACACCCCAAUGAGUGCAUCCCCAACCAAUCAGCAGCACCUGUUCCCUAGCCCCCUGACCACCAAACUCUCCUUGAGAAACCGUAGCCUCCAAAUUUUCUGGGAGGCUGAUUUGAGUAAUAAUAAAACUUUGGUCUCCUAUGUAGCUGGCUCUAUGUGUAUUAAACUCUUCCUCUAUUGCAAUUCCCCUGCCUUGGUAAGUCGG